rnacentral:misc_RNA from 1 species
CUAAGCAAAGAUAAAAAUUCAAAAAGAAAAAAAAAAGAAAAAAACAAAAUCAAAAACUAUAUCAACCAUGAUCUAACAAAACACGCCAGACAUAUCACAAACCCUAAUGGAAAUGCAUUUUUUUUUUAAGAAAAAAAAAGAAAGGAAAGGAGGUCUGCGAUUACAACAAAAAAGUGAGGAAAAAAGAUAGAAAUGCUAGCAUGGCCAAAUUUGCAAUCACAUCCAGCAUAUAUCUCUCCAGACAUAAAUUUGCAAUUCACAUAAAAAUUAGAUAAUCUAUUUUCCAGAUUGUAAUGAAAAAUAAUAAAUGCGCUUGUGAGCUUCUCCAUUACUAUACAAACCCACUUGUGAACAGCUCAAUUCAAAGGCAAAUUAAAUGGGAGAAAGGAAUAGCAUAUGUGCAUUACGCACCAUGUUAUCUCCAACAUAAAAUAAGAGCUCAUGCAUUAUUAAUAUAGCACGUUGAGCAUAUCUUAUUCUCAUAGAUUGAAUUUCUGAAUCUUCCCAAUGAAUAACCCAACUCAUAAUAAAUAUAAGCAAAAAUUUAACCCAAAUUCUCCACAACCAAUCUCCAAUUUCUCCUAAAUUGAAUAUAACAAGGGUUCACACCAAAGUUUGGGCCAGUAAUAGAAGAAAGUUUUUCCUUUUUUUUUUCCUGGGUAAGCUUUAUCAUCACAGACAGAUUGAUUCAAUUCUGAUUGAAUGUUGAAACCAGGAGCAUGAACCCCAUUCCCCAUUUCUUUCUAAAAAUAAAAUCCGACCCAUCAUAUGACAAAUUACAAAAAGGAAGGAUUGAAGAGAGGAGAAAAAACUAAGACACCAACAAUAACAACAGCAACAAAGAUAAAGACCAAAAUCAUGGAGAUAAUUCGCAAAAUAUAUUUUGAAGAGGCAAAAAUAAAAGAGCAGGAAGAACAAGAAGAAGCUAAGAAGAAAGAGGACGUGGGGGAGGCAAGAGUUGAUGUAGACUCUGAUUCACCUCUCUUUGGCCUCCACUAUUCCUUGAUAUAAACGGAUGAUUUAACAACUGAUUCGCCAUCCACCUUCUCGCCGGCUCCCUCUGCAGACAACGACUAAUAAAAUCACGAAAAUCCCUCGAAGCGGUAGGCGGAGCCUCCGGUGGUUGCGACAUACAAAUGGCACACAUCAAGCUCGCCCAAUCGCCCUGCCGCCCAACUGCAAAAGGAAACCUCCCCAGAUAGAACUCCAAUAUGCUCACCCCCAAGCUCCAAAUAUCGCCAGCAUAGCCGUCGUAUUGGCCGUGAUUCAAGUCUGUGUUGAUCCUCUCAGGACUCAUAUACGCAAUAGUACCCACCGAUGAAUUGCAGGGAUCCAUGGUCUGCGCCAGAAUCCUACUCACCCCAAAAUCUGCAAUUUUCACAUUCUUGCUCGAAUCGAUUAACAGAUUCGAAGGCUUGAUAUCCCUGUGCACUAUUUUCCGGCGGUGGAGAUACGCAAUCCCGCUCAAGAUUUUCCGGGCCACGUCCGACAAUUGGGCCUCCAGGCCGAUAUGGGUCCCUUCUAGUGAUCCGCCGUCCAUGAAUUCUAGCAAGACUUGGAUCUCCCCACUUUGCUCGUAAAAUUCGUGGCAUUUAACCACGUUUGGGUGAUCGACGCCUCGGAGAAUCUCGAUCUCGCGGCAGAUCUGGUUCCUCACCGAGUCCUCAAGGUUUCCAUAUAUCACUUUCAGCGCGUAAAGCUUCCCCGUCGGACGGUGGAUCACUUUAUACACGGUUCCGCCACUGCCACUUCCUAUGCGAUUGAUUCGGUCGAGGUCCGAAAAACUCAGUUGCUGAGUUUGUGCGGAGCUGGAGGUAGGUGGAAGAGGAAGCGGAACCGCCAAUCUUGGGUCUCUCUGAGGAAGAGGUAGGGUUAAGUUCCGUUUCCUGGUCUUGUUUCGAUUGGCCGUGCCAUUUCCACUUCCGUUUCCCGUUCCCGUUCCCGUUCCCGGCGUUGGUUGAAUCGGCCUCAUGACUCCGAUGCGAUAAGAUUUGAUUGAAUCGGUUUUCCUCCUUUUUUUCCCCCUUUUCUUUUUCUAUUUUUGCCCCUUCUUUAUAGGGCUCCGUUUGGACAAUCUUUUUUCUUCUUCUUCUUCUUCUUGCAGGUCAAGCUGCCCAGCAAGUACAU